GUGUGCAUCCCUCUUUCCAAAAUAGCCAAAAUAGUCCUUCUCCAACGGAAGCCUGCCGUGUAAAGUGAUGUGUCUUGGUGUGUGUUUAUCUUCCCCUCCGUGUGCUAAAAUACUUUUUGUCUUCUCUCCCUUCAGACGCCCUGGAGGAGAACCACACGCCGUCGCUGCGGUACAGUUUUUACGGCUACUUUGCGGCCUUAACAGCCUCCAUUACGGUCAUCGCCCGGGGGUACUCAGUAACCUCCGGGUUUGCAAGGUCGAGGAGGCCACAGAAGCGCACAAGCCUGUCGAUGAGGGUUUUGUGAUCUCUGGUCCCCCAAUUUCACCGACCUGAGGACCACUGUGUCUGCUCAUGCCAAGAACAACCUGCCUGCCGAGCAGUGGAAGAUGGUGGCCACCUUGUGUGCCACAACACGGCCACAGCUGACUGCUUCUACGCCAUCAGCCUGAACGUGACCCAGUCAAAGAGGAUGAGGGAGCAUUUCCACCAGGCCCUCACCCCCACCGUGCCAUCACCAGAGUCACCAGAAGC